rnacentral:rRNA from 1 species
UACGGAGGGUGCAAGCAUUAAUCGGAUUUACUGGGCGUAAAGGGCGUGUAGGCGGGAAGGAAAGUUAGAUGUGAAAGCCUGAGGCUCAACUUCAGAAUGGCAUCUAAAACUCCCUUUCUAGAGGAUGGACGGAGAAAAUGGAAUUCCACGUGUAGCGGUGAAAUGCGUAGAUAUGUGGAGGAACACCGGUGGCGAAAGCGAUUUUCUAGUUUAGACCUGACGCUGAGGCGCGAAAGCAAGGGGAGCAAACAGG